AUUGAACGCUGGCGGCAGGCCUAACACAUGCAAGUCGAACGAGUGGCGGACGGGUGAGUAAUGUCUGGGAAACUGCCUGAUGGAGGGGGCUAACUACUGGAAACGGUAGCUAAUACCGCAUACCAUCGGAUCGGCCCAGAUGGGAUGAGCUAGCCGGUGGGGUAACGGCUCACCUAGGCGACGAUCCCUAGCUGGUCCGAGAGGGUGACCAGAAACACUGGAACUGAGACAGGGUCCAGACUCCGACGGGAGGCAGCAGUUGGGAAUAUUGGACAAUGGGCGAAAGCCUGAUGCAGCAAUGCCGCGUGUAUGAAGAAGGCAUUCGGGUUGUAAAGUACUUUCAGCGGAGAGGCGUUACCCGCACAGGAAGCCACGGCUAACUCCGUGCCAGCGGCCGCGGUAAUUC
rnacentral:rRNA from 1 species